rnacentral:rRNA from 1 species
GGCUUAGAAGCAGCCAUCCUUUAAAGAAAGCGUAACAGCUCACUAGUUAAGUGAUUCGGCGCCGAAAAUACUCGGGGCUUAAGGUUUGUACCGAAGCUUGGGAUCCGUUGCUUGCAACGGAUGGUAGGGGAGCAUUCCGUAGGUGGUUGAAGCAACGUCGCGAGGCGUUGUGGACACAUCGGAAGAGCCUAUGCCGGCAUGAGUAGCGAUAAAACAGGUGAGAAACCUGUUCGCCGUAAGUCCAAGGUUUCCUGAGGAAGGCUAAUCCGCUCAGGGUAAGUCGGCCCCUAAGCCGAGGCCGAAAGGCGUAGGUGAUGGGAAUCCGGUUAAAAUUCCGGAACCUGAUUGAUUUCGUUUGUACGAUGGGGUGACGCAGAAGUGAAAGUUCAGCGCACUGAUGGAUGUGCGUCCAAGGAGGUAGGGGGAAGGCCCAGGUAAAUCCAGGCCUUCUUAACCCCGAGAUCUGAUGGGGAAACAAGUCUUCGGACGAGCCAACUGAACCUAAUCAUGCUGCCGAGAAAAACCUCUAAGGAGAGAUCGGUCAGACCGUACCGUAAACCGACACAGGUAGGCGAGGAGAGUAUCCUAAGGCGCUCGAGAGAACCCUGGUGAAGGAACUAGGCAAAAUCGCCCCGUAACUUCGGGAGAAGGGGCGCCACAAGUAGGUGAAGCGGCUUGCCCGUGGAGCUGAACGUGGCCGCAGUGAAAAGGCCGUGGCGACUGUUUACUAAAAACACAGGUCUCUGCAAAGUCGCAAGACGACGUAUAGGGACUGACACCUGCCCGGUGCCGAUCUGUUAAGGGGAGGGGUUAGCUUUACGCGAAGCUCUGAACCGAAGCCUCGGUAAACGGCGGCCGUAACUAUAACGGUCCUAAGGUAGCGAAAUUCCUUGUCGGGUAAGUUCCGACCUGCACGAAUGGUGUAACGAUCGAGGCACUGUCUCCACCAGGGACUCGGCGAAAUUGAAGUGGCGGUGAAAAUGCCGCCUACCCGCAGCUAGACGGAAAGACCCCGUGAACCUUUACUACAGCUUCGCAUUGGGUUUAGGUAUUGCUUGUGUAGGAUAGGUGGGAGGCUGUGAAGCGGGCACGCCAGUGUUCGUGGAGCCAAUCUUGAAAUACCACCCUGGUAAUAUUUGGACUCUAACCCGACUCCGUAAUCCGGGCCGGGAACAGUGCGUGGUGGGUAGUUUGACUGGGGCGGUCGCCUCCUAAAAAGUAACGGAGGCGCGCAAAGGUUCCCUCAGCGUGGUUGGCAAUCACGCGUCGAGUGCAAAGGCAUAAGGGAGCUUGACUGUGAGACCUACAAGUCGAACAGGUGCGAAAGCAGGUCUUAGUGAUCCGGCGGUUCCGCAUGGAAGGGCCGUUGCUCAACGGAUAAAAGGUACUCCGGGGAUAACAGGCUGAUCUCCCCCAAGAGUCCACAUCGACGGGGAGGUUUGGCACCUCGAUGUCGGCUCAUCACAUCCUGGGGCUGAAGGAGGUCCCAAGGGUUCGGCUGUUCGCCGAUUAAAGUGAUACGCGAGCUGGGUUCAGACCGGCGUGAGCCAGGUCGGUCCCUAUCUUCCGUGGCUGUAGGAAACCUGAGAAGAUUUGCCCCUAGUACGAGAGGAUUGGGGUGGACGAACCUCUGGUGUACCAGUUGUCACGCUAGUGGCAUCGCUGGGUAGCUAUGUUCGGAUCGGAUAAGCGCUGAAAGCAUCUAAGUGCGAAACC